CUAGCAAAUAAAUCAAAAUCUAGUAGUCCAAAUUUAUUUGAAAUUUGCAAAAAGGCUUUUGGGUUGAGUCACCAUUCUACCUCAGCUCGACCUACCCUUGACUGAUAAUCUGCCUCUUUGUUUUCUUGGGAACUGAUACAGGAGGCAAAUAUAAUUGUGUUGCGAUGUUCACACCACUGUCAAAUUUCUCUAGCAAGUUUAUUUAAUUUUUUAUAUUUAAUUCCCCCCCAUUCGAUUUAUGUAGGAUAUUGCAGUGGUGUUAUCUAUACGCAAAAGAAUAUUACAAAAGAGAUAUUUUUUGGCACAAUAUUUUAACCCAAUAAAAGUGCUCAUUAAUUCCAAGAACUGUAUGCUUUCAAGUCUUUCCUUGGGGCUCCAAAACCCCUUGAGCUUUCCUCUCUAUAGAAAAUGCCCCAGGCAUCCGGGGUGGCAUCUGAAAAAAUGUCUAUUUUUAUACUGUAGCGUUUUAUUUUUCUAUUUCUUAUGUUCACUAACGCUCCAUUGAUAUUUCAUUAAUUUCAAUAAUUAUAUUAAUAAUUUCAGUCAAUUUCUUUUAUCGAUAUUUCUUUAAAUUCACACUGUCAAUUACACAUUACUACUGUAACGCAUUACUCUCCUGGUUUUAUUAUUCAUGCUUUCUGUUGACGGUCCGUCACUCUUCUGGUUGGUCUUGAUUGAUGUUUUCUCUGAUUGGAUUGACAUUGACAGCUCAGGCGAGAGGUGGGGUCGUAACUUAUUUAGUCGGUACUGCAUCCAUUUUUCGAGGACUUGUUCCCGUGUCGCAGGUAGAAGCGCACGUAAAAGGCCAGUUUUUUAUUUUCGAAAUUUGUGAAGCAGGAAGUGGCCAAUAUGGUUUAUAAUUUAUAGUCCUUAAUCUUGUUCCUUUAGGGAACUGUUUAUUUCAUAAUUCUGGUGCAGGAUGCCCGAGAUUUUGAUGGAUAGAUAAUGAAACUUAGCAAGGGUUCUACUUUUUCGUUUUACUUUUCCGUUUUCCUCUUUAUUCUUCUUCAAUUGUUGAUGGCUGCAAGCUUUUGAUUUCUCCGGGAAAUUGCUGAGAGCGGUGGAAUUGGAGCCAGAACCAGAGCUAGUAUUAGAUAUUCCCAGUCCGGAUAGCUAAGCUACAAAUGGCAUACAUUUACAGCCUCGAUUUUGGAGGCCAGCCGUUCAUUUCUUGGAGGAAUAUACAGGCCAGUUUAUUCCAUUUAUUUAAAUAUUAUUAACCAUAGAUUUGUCUCUCUUAUUUAAGUUUUUAUUAAUAUACUUUUAAUUUCAAUUUAUUGCUACAAAUAUUUAAUCAAUAUCAUAAUUUAAUAUGUCAAUUUCCUAUCUAUAAUUUUAGUUAUUUUUUGUUGAGUAUUUUUCAGUACCUUUUUUGGUAGUUAAUUAGAUAUAACUCGGUUAAGGCUGAUAUGCCUUAGGUAAAAAGGUUCAUGAACUUUCCCCUGCGUAAUACAAAUAUUUACUAAAAACUUUAAUAAUUGCAAUUUAUUUUUCAAGUGCUGAAAUCUACCUAGUAGCUUAAUCAUAAUUUUAAUGUUACUUUUGACAAACUUAUUUUAUUUAAUCAAAUCAACAUUAUUCAUAUUUUAAUUCAUAAUAAAUUAUUAACAUUUAACAGAUUAGAAAAUGAGGUGUAUACAUAUCUUUGAUGUAAAUAUAAUUUGGUUGUAUUGUUAAGAUAUUUUUUUUUGCCUCUUUAAAUCUACUUUAUCCAGGGUCAUUUAAUUGUUAAUUGAAACCUAUAUACCAAGUGUUUUUCUUAGUUUUCUUUCAUUUAUAAAAAAAAACUAAGUGGCGCCCUUUUAUUUAAUAGUUAUAAUCAAGAUUAUAUUCUUUAAUAGCCAGUCAUAAGUGAACCUUCGAACAAUACCAAGCCUCCAAUAAUUCUGAGCUACCGUCUGCAAACUCUUGGCAAAAUAGUAACACUGUAAAGUUAACGCCACAAUACUUGAAGGUAAAAAAAGGACAAAAGAGAUUUUUUUAACUUUUCCAUCCACCAUUUUGCUUCUGCAUGCAAGGGCAGUAGGAUUGUCAUUUUCCUAUCGCACUGCCUCCCCAUUGCGUGCAUAUUGAUGCUAAAACAUCACAAAGUUUAGCAAAUUGUCCUAUGCUGUACAGCUUUAUCAAAACAAACUUUUGUAAAAGACUAUAAAUUUCAAAAGUUUUUUGUUAAAGGAAAGCUAAGCCCCAUAUUGAUAGAGUCAAAGUUAAAGCCUAAGGACUUACAGUAUUGACUUGGUCACAAAAGACUUUUUUUAAAAUUUAUAAGAAAACCUAGUUCUGUAAGUAAAUCACAUGUAGUUUUUAUAUUUCUAUUACACUUUUCUAUUUAGUCUGCCCAAGAAAAAAAAAUUAUCAAGAUAAUUUACUGACAAAAACCCCCGCUUUUUAAGAUGAGUCACUACUGGUUUAAGCAGUUUUGUAAAUACCCAGGGGGCUGAACACAAAAUAAAAUCUUAAAAUUUCUGAUGACUCUUACUAAUAGGUAUCAGAAAAAGUCUCUUUUAGGUCAAUAGUGGACAUAUAACAAUUUUUUGAUAUUAAAUUUAUUGCUAGCUUUCUAUCCUCUACCUUAAAAUGUUCGGUUAUUACAAGUGUAUUUAGGUUUUUUAAUUUUAGAAUAAAUCUAUUUGAACCGUCUGGUUUCGGGCGUAGAAAAAUAUUUGAAAUUUGAAAAUGAUUUGAUAAGAGUGUGCACUGCAGCACUGCACCAAUAUUUAAUAGGUGAUCUAUGGCCCACUUCAGACCAGUUUUCUCUUUAAGAGACCAAAUCCUCUCUUUUUGGAUCACUUUGGAUAAAAGAGGAUCUUAUACCCCUCCAAUCAGGAUAAAAUAUGUUUAUCAUUACUGUAAGGUGUCCAUUUAUUUUUAAACAUGGCUCUGACCAGCUCUUGCUCCUCUGCUGUCUGUCUUUUGGUUGAUCAUUUGAGUGCCUACUCCACUGAGGCUGGAUCCUCUGGCCGGAGGUGAUCUGUUUGAAAACCAUCUUCCGAGGAGAUGGGCUCUUUAAGCUUAAAUUCUUCUUUUCGACAAGAACAGAGCUAUUUUUCUCCAGGGUCUUUGCUUGCUCCAGACAUUUGGAGAGGUUAGCCCCAAAGAGCAACUUGCUAAUUUUGGAGGAUCCUGUAAAAUCUAUUUAAAAUUUUCUUUUAAUUUUUGCUCAUACCAAUUACAUUUUGGCUCAUACCAUACGCAAUACAUUGCAAUUGCCAAAUUGGAAGUUUUCCUAUGGACAGAUUGGUCAUAGAAAAGAUUGCACAAAAUUCUACCUGAGUUACUUAACCACUGAAGCAGUUGCAGAUUUUUUUCCCUGGGAGAAAGGGGAUCCAUUUAAUAGCCUUGAUGCCUUGACAGAGCCUUACCAAUUCCCACAAUAGCUGCGCUUAGUUGCAACUGGUUUUUCAAAAUGUUGUGGUCCCUCUGUAUGGCAGAAUCAUUAAUAUUUAAUUUAACUUUAGUUCUGGUGUCUUAAAUGGACAGUUAGCAGGCACUGGAUACUUUUUCGCCAAUGUUGUUACUUUCCCGUCAGGUAGUCCCUCACAAAGAAUAUUUUCCCAUUGAUGUCCAACUAUGAGCAAAAAAAUUCGUCAGUUUUUGCAGGAGAGUCGCAAUCCUGCCCCAAAAUUUUGAAACCAACGGAUCCAAGUAAAUUUUGCGAAUUGGUUCAGUUUGACCUAGAAAAAGGAAUUAACCUAAAUUCUUUGAUUUGCUUUAAGCUCAAGUCCAGAUCCGCAUUUUUUUUUU